AAUCAAAUCUGAUCGUACCCAGUAAACACGUUUACGUCAAUGUGACGUCAAAAUGACAUUGGGAUAUGUCAGGAUUUACGUAAGAUACAAGUCACGAAUGAGUCAUAUGUGACUCAUUAUUUCACACUUCUUGAUGUAAGAUUCUGACGUAAAAA